GAUGAACGCUGGCGGCGUGCCUAAUACAUGCAAGUCGAGCGAACGGACGAGAAGCUUGCUUCUCUGAUGUUAGCGGCGGACGGGUGAGUAACACGUGGAUAACCUACCUAUAAGACUGGGAUAACUUCGGGAAACCGGAGCUAAUACCGGAUAAUAUUUUGAACCGCAUGGUUCAAAAGUAAAAGACGGUCUUGCUGUCACUUAUAGAUGGAUCCGCGCUGCAUUAGCUAGUUGGUAAGGUAACGGCUUACCAAGGCAACGAUGCAUAGCCGACCUGAGAGGGUGAUCGGCCACACUGGAACUGAGACACGGUCCAGACUCCUACGGGAGGCAGCAGUAGGGAAUCUUCCGCAAUGGGCGAAAGCCUGACGGAGCAACGCCGCGUGAGUGAUGAAGGUCUUCGGAUCGUAAAACUCUGUUAUUAGGGAAGAACAUAUGUGUAAGUAACCGUGCACAUCUUGACGGUACCUAAUCAGAAAGCCACGGCUAACUACGUGCCAGCAGCCGCGGUAAUACGUAGGUGGCAAGCGUUAUCCGGAAUUUUAUGGGCGUAAGCGCGCGUAGCGGUUUUUUAGUCUGAUGUGAAAGCCCACGGCUCACCCGUGGAGGGUCAUUGGAAACUGGAAAACUUGAGUGCAGAAGAGGAAAGUGGAAUUCCAUGUGUAGCGGUGAAAUGCGCAGAGAUAUGGAGGAACACCAGUGGCGAAGGCGACUUUCUGGUCUGUAACUGACGCUGAUGUGCGAAAGCGUGGGGAUCAAACAGGAUUAGAUACCCUGGUAGUCCACGCCGUAAACGAUGAGUGCUAAGUGUUAGGGGGUUUCCGCCCCUUAGUGCUGCAGCUAACGCAUUAAGCACUCCGCCUGGGGAGUACGACCGCAAGGUUGAAACUCAAAGGAAUUGACGGGGACCCGCACAAGCGGUGGAGCAUGUGGUUUAAUUCGAAGCAACGCGAAGAACCUUACCAAAUCUUGACAUCCUUUGACAACUCUAGAGAUAGAGCCUUCCCCUUCGGGGGACAAAGUGACAGGUGGUGCAUGGUUGUCGUCAGCUCGUGUCGUGAGAUGUUGGGUUAAGUCCCGCAACGAGCGCAACCCUUAAGCUUAGUUGCCAUCAUUGAGUUGGGCACUCUAAGUUGACUGCCGGUGACAAACCGGAGGAAGGUGGGGAUGACGUCAAAUCAUCAUGCCCCUUAUGAUUUGGGCUACACACGUGCUACAAUGGACAAUACAAAGGGCAGCGAAACCGCGAGGUCAAGCAAAUCCCAUAAAGUUGUUCUCAGUUCGGAUUGUAGUCUGCAACUCGACUACAUGAAGCUGGAAUCGCUAGUAAUCGUAGAUCAGCAUGCUACGGUGAAUACGUUCCCGGGUCU
rnacentral:rRNA from 1 species